CCAGACUCCUACGGGAGGCAGCAGUGAGGAAUAUUGGUCAAUGGGCGAGAGCCUGAACCAGCCAAGUCGCGUGAGGGAGUAUUGCCCUAUGGGUUGUAAACCUCUUUUGUCGGGGAGCAAAAGCCGGACGUGUCCGGCUGUGAGAGUACCCGAAGAAAAAGCAUCGGCUAACUCCGUGCCAGCAGCCGCGGUAAUACGGAGGAUGCGAGCGUUAUCCGGAUUUAUUGGGUUUAAAGGGUGCGUAGGCGGGAGGCCAAGCCAGGGGGAAAAGAGGGGGGCUCAACCUGCGUCCGCCGUUGAAACUGGCGUUCUUGAGUGGGCGAGAAGUACGCGGAAUGCGUGGUGUAGCGGUGAAAUGCAUAGAUAUCACGCAGAACCCCGAUUGCGAAGGCAGCGUACCAGCGCCCGACUGACGCUGAAGCACGAAAGCGUGGGUAUCGAACAGGAUUAGAUACCCGGGUAUAU
rnacentral:rRNA from 1 species